GAUGAACGCUGGCGGCGUGCCUAAUACAUGCAAGUCGAACGCAUAGCGAAAGGUGCUUGCACCUUUCAAGUGAGUGGCGAACGGGUGAGUAACACGUGGACAACCUGCCUCAAGGCUGGGGAUAACAUUUGGAAACAGAUGCUAAUACCGAAUAAAACUUAGUGUCGCAUGACACAAAGUUAAAAGGCGCUUCGGCGUCACCUAGAGAUGGAUCCGCGGUGCAUUAGUUAGUUGGUGGGGUAAAGGCCUACCAAGACAAUGAUGCAUAGCCGAGUUGAGAGACUGAUCGGCCACAUUGGGACUGAGACACGGCCCAAACUCCUACGGGAGGCUGCAGUAGGGAAUCUUCCACAAUGGGCGAAAGCCUGAUGGAGCAACGCCGCGUGUGUGAUGAAGGCUUUCGGGUCGUAAAGCACUGUUGUAUGGGAAGAACAGCUAGAAUAGGAAAUGAUUUUAGUUUGACGGUACCAUACCAGAAAGGGACGGCUAAUUACGUG
rnacentral:rRNA from 1 species